rnacentral:ncRNA from 2 species
UUCGCGACGGAAUAUUCGGGUGCUCCUAAGGAGCUUAAAAGGGAACCUCGUGGGAAUCGAGGACGGACCCGCCGCUGUAACCCUUGCUCUUCACCGCAUUUGAUGGGAAGAGAACUUUCUUGGCCUCUGUUUGCCACUGUCUUCAUAACCGGGAUGGGAAGGCCGCCAAGAUGGAUGGGAAGCCAGAAGACCUGCCCAUGAAUGGAGAUUUAA